rnacentral:hammerhead_ribozyme from 1 species
AUCCAGCCGACGAGUCCCAAAUAGGACGAAACGUGCAUCAAACUGGAU